AGCUUUGCGCAGUGGCAGUAUCAUAGCCAAUGAGGUUUAUCCGAGGCAUGAUUUUUGCUAAUUGAAACAACAGAAAUGUGAAAAACCCAAAUUAUUUCUCCCAGCAUAUUCUGGUUAUAAGAACUAUGAUUAUUUAGAAGCUGGAAGAAAUAAUGAACAGCCAGACCUCUGUGGC
rnacentral:snRNA from 1 species